rnacentral:rRNA from 1 species
GACGUAGGGCGCGAGCGUUGUCCGGAUUUAUUGGGCGUAAAGAGCUCGUAGGCGGCUUGUCGCGUCGUUCGUGAAAACCCACGGCUCAACUGUGGGCUUGCGGUCGAUACGGGCAGGCUGGAGCUCGGUAGGGGAGACUGGAAUUCCUGGUGUAGCGGUGAAAUGCGCAGAUAUCAGGAGGAACACCGGUGGCGAAGGCGGGUCUCUGGGCCGAUACUGACGCUGAGGAGCGAAAGCGUGGGGAGCGAACAGG